rnacentral:snoRNA from 1 species
AACCCAUGGUGAGGGCACCUUCUAAAUAGAUCAUUGUAUCUUUCCUAUGCAUAAUAUAAGGUCUCUAAAUCGAUCUGAACAAAGGAAGAGAUAUCAUUCCUCAAUUU